UAAGGCGCCCGUACCAUAAACCGACACAGGUGGGUGAGGAGAGUAUCCUAAGGCCAGCGAGAGAACUAUUGUUAAGGAACUCGGCAAAAUGACCCCGUAACUUAGGGAGAAGGGGUGCCUGUCUAUGACAGGCCGCAGAGAAUAGGCCCAAGCGACUGUUUACCAAAAACACAGGUUUCUGCUAAGUCGCAAGACGAUGUAUAGGAGCUGACGCCUGCCCGGUGCUGGAAGGUUAAGGGGAUCUGUUAGAGCAAUCGAAGCAGUGAACUUAAGCCCCAGUAAACGGCGGCCGUAACAAUAACGGUCCUAAGGUAGCGAAAUUCCUUGUCGGGUAAGUUCCGACCCGCACGAAAGGCGUAACGAUUUGGGCACUGUCUCAACAAUAGACUCGGUGAAAUUGUAAUCCCGGUGAAGAUGCCGGGUACCUGCGACAGGACGGAAAGACCCCAUGGAGCUUUACUGUAGCUUGACGUUGGGUCUUGGUACUACAUGUACAGGAUAGGUGGGAGACUAUGAAGCAUGGACGCCAGUCUGUGUGGAGUCAUCCUUGGGAUACCACCCUUGUAGUACUGGGAUCCUAUCCAUAGGCCUUGAAUCAGGUCUUGGAACACCGUCAGGUGGGCAGUUUGACUGGGGCGGUCGCCUCCUAAAAAGUAACGGAGGCGCUCAAAGGUUUCCUCAGCACGGUCGGAAAUCGUGCGAAGAGUGUAAAGGCAAAAGGAAGCUUGAUUGCAAGACAUACAGGUCGAGCAAGGACGAAAGUCGGACUUAGUGAUCCGGUGGUACCGCAUGGAAGGGCCAUCGCUCAACGGAUAAAGCUACCCUGGGGAUAACAGGCUUAUCUCCCCCAAGAGUCCACAUCGACGGGGAGGUUUGGCACCUCGAUGUCGGCUCAUCACAUCCUGGGGCUGUAGUAGGUCCCAAGGGUUGGGCUGUUCGCCCAUUAAAGUGGUACGCGAGCUGGGUUCAGAACGUCGUGAGACAGUUCGGUCCCUAUCCGUCGCAGGCGUAGGAAAUUUGAGAAGACCUGUCCUUAGUACGAGAGGACCGGGAUGGACGUACCUCUGGUGUACCAGUUGUUCUGCCAAGGGCAUGGCUGGGUAGCUAUGUACGGAAUGGAUAAGCGCUGAAAGCAUCUAAGCGCGAAGCCAACUUCAAGAUAAGAUUUCCCACCGUAAGGGUAAGACCCCAGGAAGACUACCUGGUUGAUAGGUCGAAGGUGUAAGUGCAGUAAUGUAUUUAGCUUAUCGAUACUAAUAGGUCGAGGACUUGAC
rnacentral:rRNA from 1 species